rnacentral:tRNA from 1 species
AAAGAUUUAGUUAAAUAAUAAGAUAACAUUAAUUUGUCAGAUUAAAGUUAGACCACAUCUUAAAGAUCUAAUCUUUG